CUCCGAGCACACACACCACCAGGCCGCAGACCAACUGGCUUCAUUCUUCAUCUGUGCAAACCUGUGAGGGAGGCAGGAGAGAGCUGAACACGAUUCACGGUCCGCGCACAACUCACGGUCUGCAUCUGGGCCCCACUCUCUCCCGGGCGCGGGCCUGCAACACCUACGUGCCCAUCUGAAGUCCCUGAGCAGAUGUUCCAAACGCGCCUCGACUGUGAUCUGCCACAGACAGAACCGCCACCUCCAUGACUCAGCACCCCACCAGCUGCCUCUGUACCCCUCUUGGCCAACGGGGUCUCUAACCUGGUGACCCAAGCCGGGACCUGGAAGCCGUCCUGGACCCCACCCUCACUCGCCUUUCUCAGCUCAUCAGCUACUUGGUGGUGGCCAUUUUAACCCCUAAGUAUUGCUGAUAAUUCGCCCCUGACCCCCCAUGCCCAGCCUAUUAGCUGUACCCAACUUCCUCACUAUUCUGUUGCCAGAAGGAUCAUUCCAAAGCACUAUUUAAUAUUAUGCUUAUAAUAAAACUGAAAUUCCUUCA